rnacentral:rRNA from 1 species
GUAUAUGACUACAACAUAGCGUUAAUGCAUCAGAUCCCAUUAGAAAUCUGCAGUUAAGCAUGCUCAAGUUAGAGUAGUACUAGGAUGGGUGACCGCCUAGGAAUUCUUAGUGUUUUACAUG